rnacentral:rRNA from 1 species
GACGAACGCUGGCGGCGUGCCUAACACAUGCAAGUCAACUUGACGGAAGGAGCAAUCUGACCGUAGAGUGGCGCAAGGGUGCGUAACGCGUAAGUAACUUGCCCCAAGGUAAGGAAUAACGUCGAGAAAUCGGCGCUAAUACCUCAUAAUGCAGCGGAUCCGCAUGGAUAUGUUGUUAAAGGUUUACCGCCUUGGGAUAGGCUUGCGUCUGAUUAGCUAGUUGGUGUGGUAACGGCACACCAAGGCUACGAUCAAAAGUACUGGUCUGAGAGGAUGAUCAGUCACACUGGAACUGAGACACGGUCCAGACUCCUACGGGAGGCAGCAGUGAGGAAUAUUGGGCAAUGCUCGAAAGAGUGACCCAGCAACGCCGCGUGGAGGAUGAAGGUAUUCUAUAUCGUAAACUCCUGUGAGAGCAGACGAAAGACAGAUUA